UACAGAGGGUGCAAGCGUUGUUCGGAAUUACUGGGCGUAAAGCGCGUGUAGGUGGCGAGAUAAGUCGGGCGUGAAAUCCCUUGGCUUAACCAAGGAAGUGCAUUCGAUACUGUUUCGCUUGAGUAUCGGAGGGGUCGGCGGAAUUCCGGUGUAGAGGUGAAAUUCGUAGAUAUUGGGAGGAACACCUGUGGCGAAGGCGGCCGACUGGACGAUCACUGACACUGAGACGCGAAAGCGUGGGUAGCAAACAGG
rnacentral:rRNA from 1 species